AGUAGGUUUAUGAGGUAGAAGUGCUACUAGUGGUAAUGGUAGUAGUAGAGAUAAAGGUAGAAGUGCUACUAGUGGUAAUGGUAGUAGUAGAGAUAAAGGUAGAAGUGCUACUAGUGGUAAUGGUAGUAGUAGAGAUAAAGGUAGAAGUGCUACUAGUGGUAAUGGUAGUAGUAGAGAUAAAGGUAGAAGUGCUACUAGUGGUAAUGGUAGUAGUAGAGAUAAAGGUAGAAGUGCUACUAGUGGUAAUGGUAGUAGUAGAGAUAAAGGUAGAAGUGCUACUAGUGGUAAUGGUAGUAGUAGGUUUAUGAGGUAGAAGUGCUACUAGUGGUAAUGGUAGUAGUAGAGAUAAAGGUAGAAGUGCUACUAGUGGUAAUGGUAGUAGUAGAGAUAAAGGUAGAAGUGCUACUAGUGGUAAUGGUAGUAGUAGAGAUAAAGGUAGAAGUGCUACUAGUGGUAAUGGUAGUAGUAGAGAUAAAGGUAGAAGUGCUACUAGUGGUAAUGGUAGUAGUAGAGAUAAAGGUAGAAGUGCUACUAGUGGUAAUGGUAGUAGUAGAGAUAAAGGUAGAAGUGCUACUAGUGGUAAUGGUAGUAGUAGAGAUAAAGGUAGAAGUGCUACUAGUGGUAAUGGUAGUAGUAGAGAUAAAGGUAGAAGUGCUACUAGUGGUAAUGGUAGUAGUAGAGAUAAAGGUAGAAGUGCUACUAGUGGUAAUGGUAGUAGUAGAGAUAAAGGUAGAAGUGCUACUAGUGGUAAUGGUAGUAGUAGAGAUAAA